rnacentral:rRNA from 1 species
CGAAGGGCGUAGCGUUGCUCGGAAUUACUGGGCGUAAAGGGACGCGUAGGCGGUCGAUUUUAGUUCAGGCGGUGAAAUUACCCGGGCGUUAAACCUCGGGGACGUGCGCUUGAUACUGGGUGACUUGAGGGUGGAAGAGGGUCGUGGAAUUCCCAGUGUAGAGGUGAAAUUCGUAGAUAUUGGGAAGAACACCGGUGGCGAAGGCGGCGACCUGGUCCAUUACUGACGCUGAGGCGCGACAGCGUGGGGAGCAAACAGGAUU